GCUGGGCAUGGUGGCGCGUGCCUGUAAUCCCAGCUACUCAGGAGGCUGAGGCAGGAGAAUUGCCUGAACCCAGGAGGCCGAGGUUGCGGUGAGCCAAGAUCGCGCCAUUGCACUCCAGCCUGGGUAACAAGAGCGAAACUCUGCCUCAA
ensembl:misc_RNA Metazoa_SRP Metazoan signal recognition particle RNA